GGACUACAGGGGUUUCUAAUCCUGUUCGCUCCCCACGCUUUCGCUCCUCAGCGUCAGUUACGGCCCAGAGAACUGCCUUCGCCAUCGGUGUUCCUCCUGAUAUCUGCGCAUUCCACCGCUACACCAGGAAUUCCAUUCUCCCCUACCGCACUCUAGUCUGCCCGUACCCACUGCAGGCCCGAGGUUGAGCCUCGGGAUUUCACAGCAGACGCGACAGACCGCCUACGAGCUCUUUACGCCCAAUAAUUCCGGACAACGCUCGCACCCUACGUAUUACCGCGGCUGCUGGCAC
rnacentral:rRNA from 1 species